GCCCCUGUAGCCCAACUGGGAGAGGCACCGCGCUCAGAUCGCGGACAGUCCAGGUUCGAAUCCUGGUGGGGGCA
rnacentral:tRNA from 2 species